rnacentral:rRNA from 1 species
UGAGCAAUCUGCCCUUCUCAUCGGAAUAAGCGUUGGAAACGACGUUUAAUGCCGAAUACGACCUCCUUUCGCAUGAUCGGAGGUGGAAAGCUCCGGCGGAGGAGGAUGAGCUCGCGGCCUAUCAGCUUGUUGGUGAGGUAAUAGCUCACCAAGGCGAUGACGGGUAGCCGGCCUGAGAGGGUGACCGGCCACACUGGGACUGAGACACGGCCCAGACUCCGUAGGAGG